rnacentral:rRNA from 1 species
UACGUAGGGUGCAAGCGUUGUCCGGAAUUAUUGGGCGUAAAGAGCUCGUAGGCGGUUUGUCGCGUCUGCUGUGAAAACGCGAGGCUCAACCUCGCGCCUGCAGUGGGUACGGGCAGACUAGAGUGCGGUAGGGGAGAUUGGAAUUCCUGGUGUAGCGGUGGAAUGCGCAGAUAUCAGGAGGAACACCAAUAGCGAAGGCAGCUCGCUGGGACGUUACUGACACUAAGGCGCGAAAGCGUGGGGAGCGAACAGG